rnacentral:rRNA from 1 species
AUGCUCAAAAUCGAUUAGCCAAAGCUUUAUAGAAUUGAGUGGCAUUUCAUUGCUUCGGCUCUUGCUCGUAAGGGUCUUCAUCACCAUUUCAUAAACCUUGUCCAUGCAUGUAUCUCUUUGUCAACUUUCUCGAUUAUCAUUAAUGGCCAGUCUUUUGCUCGCUCUAAAAGUAGCAGAGGCAUUAGGCAGGGAUGCCCCUUGUCCCCAACUCCUUUUGUCUUUGCAAUAAAUGAACUCUCUCUGUCGCUUCAGGAUGCUCUACAUUCCAAUCACUUGUAAAGUAUCUCUCUUGGUCCAAAUUGCCCUCCAAUUCAUUCUUUGAUGUUUGCGGAUGAUCUACUUGUUUGUGGCAAAGCUAACAGGCAGGAAGUAGGUGCCAUAUCUCAAAUAUUACAUCGAUGUUGCCAAGGCUCGGGACAGCUCCUGAACUGA